rnacentral:rRNA from 1 species
CACACUACCCCAUCAACUUUGUAUUUCCCUCCACCAUGAUACCGGGCGCACUGGUCAUGGACACCGUCAUGCUGCUCACCCGCAACUGGAUGAUCACAGCCUUAGUCGGUGGGGGUGCAUUUGGACUGUUGUUCUACCCUGGCAACUGGCCGAUCUUUGGCCCGACCCACCUGCCGCUGGUGGCCGAAGGCGUACUGCUAUCGGUAGCCGACUACACUGGCUUCCUGUAUGUACGCACCGGCACGCCUGAGUACGUGCGCCUGAUCGAACAAGGCUCGCUGCGAACCUUUGGCGGUCACACCACCGUCAUUGCUGCAUUCUUCUCCGCGUUCGUCUCCAUGCUCAUGUUCUGCGUAUGGUGGUACUUUGGCAAAGUCUACUGCACCGCCUUCUACUACGUAAAAGGCGCCCGUGGCCGCGUCAGCAUGAAGAACGACGUCACCGCAUUUGGC